UUAGCUUCAGUAGAGCUAAACCAAUUUACCCCAGCUGAGGAUUGGCCUCAGGAGGUCUCACUAGGAAAUCUUAAGCUGAAGUCCAUAUUUAGGCCAAUAAAUAAGUGGCCUGUUUUUCCUAAAGUUCUGUACACCCAGCAGCUCCCCUUAAUUUCAGUAGAAGUGCAGCACUUCUGAAAAACCAGUCACCAGUUCCUGAAUAGAAAAUCUCAACCUGAAGUCCAUAAAAUCAGACAUUUAGCUAGUGUAAAUUGGCAUAGCUCUACAGAAGCUUAUGUAGCUACCCCAACUAACACUAGGUGAGAAUCUCUGUAGCUCUGACAAUGACAACGGAAUUUUCUCCUCAUGGAGAACAGACCAUCACCAGAUGGCCUAUGACAAAGGCCUGAUGUAGUUUUAUUUUUAUAGUACUUUCCACCUUACCCUCCUCCUUUAAUAGCCACAUCUUUUUGUUGUUAAAGAUGAAGGGCUUGAUCCAUAAAGGGGAUGUAGGGUCAGCCUUGUAAUGUCUACAUUUAGGUGCUCUGACACCCAGAGGACACCUUAGCCCCAAGUCAGGCUCCCAUGCUCUCUGCACCGUGCAUGAUGGUUAGGUGCCUAAAAAAGGGAUUCACAAAAGGCACCACAGGCUGAGCAGGAAGCUGCCUAAACUAACCAGUAGAUAAUGCCAAAGAGAGGUUUUGCCUAAGCCUCACCCCCUCAAAGGAAAUUAGGUGCCUGUUUCCACCACUGUGAAUCAUUUCCUAAUUAGACCCCUAAAUCAGCUCAGCCCUUUUUCAAGUAAAACUGUGGAGGAGGGUACUGCCCUUAACCUCAGUAGCCAAGUAGUUAGCAUACUCUGCCAGAAUGUGGGGGAGAGAGGUUCGGAUGUCCACUUUGCCUGAUUAAGAACAGGGACUUGAACACAGGUCUUCUACCUCUCGGAGCUGAGCUGCCUGCAUGGUCACUCAAUACUUGUUCUCCAAUAUUGAAAUCAAAUCCAAAUGAAAGGCUGCAGUUAAACCAAAUGCUGUUUAUUUAAGGAACUGAGAAGAAUGAAAAUGAAUUACAAGUUCUUUGCCAUACUCCUUAGCUACUUUAUCCUUCCACAUCAUAAAACAGCAACAGACUGAGGGAAACUAUCUUCAGGAAUCUAAACAAACUAAUACUUAUUUGUAUUUUGAAUAUGCUCCUAUGAUUUGCCCAUGUACUGUAAGAACAAUUAUCAGGUUUACAAAAUAGACCAAUUAAAUAUUUAAAAUACUGACAUAAAUGCAACUCCUGCUGAUAUGACAAAGUUGAUUCUGUGAAUUUGUAGCAUAAAGAAAUGCACUCUAAAAACCUGUGUGAAUUUCAUAUGCAUUGCUGUUUAACUUUGAUGUAUUAUGAUUAAUAUGGUAUGAAUAGUCUUUGGACAUAAAUAAUUGGAUAGCUAUAACAAAGUGAAGCCAACUAUCUUGUCUUCAGCAGAAGAGAUGGACUGGAUUAGGGCUGAAGUUCCCACAAACUAAAAAAAAAAAAGUAGAUAGUAGGAAAGCACUGGAGUUAAGAUAUGCAGGAUAAUAAUAUGCUACACUUUAAGUGUCUUCCUUUUAGAAGAAGUGACCAGCUGAAAGAUUUAUUUUGUGUGAAUAUAAGAAAAAACAUCAAAAUUAUACCAUACAAUACAAUUUACUUUAUCUGGUUUCUUUAAUUAUGCCUGGGAAAAAUUUGCACCACUGUGCGCGCGCAGAAUUUAUGUCCCCCACAGAUUUCUUUGAUUCCCUGCAGAAAAAUGACUUUCUGACAGAGAAACGAAGGGAAGGUGCAAAAGCAGUCACACUCUGCUCCCUAGCUGUGCAGGUACAUUGUUUAAGGCACCCGGAGUAGCUGGUGGAGAGGUAAAUCACUGCAGGGCUGGGGACACCCCAGUCAGUG